CCUCAUAGACAGCUUGUUUGUUCUAUAGGCAUUGGAGCUUUAAUUUUUGUUCUGGUGUUCAAGGCCCUUACUGGUUUGCCUCCUUUUAUGGGUAUCCUGCUUGUACUUGGAGUUCUUUUGAUUCUUACUGAUGCUAUCCAUUAUGGUGAAUCUAAAAGGCAAAAGUUAAAAGUACCAUAAGCCUUGUCACGGAUUGACACUCAAGGAGCACUUUUCUUCCUUGCAAUCCUUUUAUCAGUUAGUAGCUUGGAGUCAGCUGGGAUUCUUCGGGAAUUGGCAAAUUACCUGAAUGCUCAUAUUCCAAAUGUCCAACUAAUUGCCAGUGCAAUAAGGGUUGUAUUAGCAGUCAUAGAAAAUGUUCCACUAGUUGCUGCAACUAUGGGAAUCUGGGGUUGCUUAUAUGGGGAUGGAAAAGGUGGAUUUCUUUUGGUACUUGUGGAAGGUUAUGCUGCUGGUAUUGCUACCUAUUCGGCAAUUCAUAGCCUCCAGCUUUCCCUACCAACAACUGUACCUCAGGAACAAAUUUGGGUACUAAGGGACGUGUAUCGAUAGAAUGAGAGGUUUUGAAAGAAGUAUUUCAUGUUGAAUUUUGUUUUCUUUUCUUUUAGUGAAGAUUGUUCAAUAAAAACGUGAAGCAUUUUAAGUACAUUCAUUGAUUAACCCAAUUUUAAAAUGCAUGUUAG